rnacentral:rRNA from 1 species
AUGGCUCCUGAGUAUGCAAUGGAAGGUGUCUUCUCUACCAAAUCUGAUGUCUACAGCUUCGGCGUAUUACUAUUGGAGGUUGUAACUGGUAUAAGGAGAAAUUCCAAUUGUGAAACUAUGGGAUUUUCCAGCCUCGCUCUUCAUUCAUGGAAUAAGUGGAACGAAGAAAAGACUGAGGAACUGCCAGACUCGUCUAUCAUAGAUACUUCACCAGACGAAGUUCUGCUUUGCGUCCAUGUAGCACUCUUGUGUGUGCAGGAUAACCCAGAUGACAGGCCACUCAUGUCAUCUGUUGUGUUCGUCCUAGAGAAUGGAAGCAACACACUUACAUCCCCCAAUCGCCCCGCCUACUUUUCGCGACGAAGUACUGAAGUGGAUCAAAUAAGACAAGAUAUUCAAACUUCCGUCAAUAGUUUUACUCUUACUGAGAUAGAGGGACGAUGUACCUAA